rnacentral:rRNA from 2 species
AAUCAAGUGCCUUAAGGGUGUUCGGUGGAUGCCUUGGCGCUGAGAGGCGAUGAAGGACGUGCUACGCUGCGAUAAGCCGUGGGGAGCUGCGAAGAAGCUUUGAUCCGCGGAUUUCCGAAUGGGGAAACCCACCUUCGAUAGCCGGAACUCCAAGACCUUGUGUGUUGGGGUUCGACCAGAAAUGCGAGAAAUCAAACCGCGAGGUUUUGGAUUUCCGGUUAUCAAGAGAAGGUAUGAGACCUCUGAAU